UAACUUAUACAAUGUGCAUUAACCACCUAUCAUCUUAUUUGCCAAUUACUGCACAAUGCUGAUAAAUUUCAAUUACUAUACUUCUAGAAAAUAAACAAGGUCCAACGUUGUUUGCUUUCCAUUUCCCUUCUACUCUGAUAUUAUGUGAUUUGGUUUAUUCAUAUUACUGUCCAUAGCAUAUUUGUUGUGCACACAGUUAUAAAUUCGUUUUCUCGACACUGCACAGGCAAGGGGGAAAUCUUCUUAUAGAUCUGUUCCGUCACUGUGACAAUCAUUUGGGAGAGAAACAAGUAAACAACCCUUUUUUCCAUAAAACUCCAUCUGGAAGUGCACGACAGCCACUACAGUUGACUAACGAUGUAACCAAGAUGAUGCAAAAGCAUCAGCUGGAAACACCACAGUUGCUGCUACUGAGUACCAUCCUUAUAUCCUUAUUUCCUAAUUGUUGUGGUGCAUGUACAAGUUUUUUUAAAACGAAUUCCGAAUUGGUUAUUGCUGUUAGAACUCAUCUGAGUGCUACCUUCUCAUAUGCUCCUUUUUUCUCUCUGGCUGUUAUGUUAAAGGACCAGAUACAAGUCAAUCUUCCCUUCAAAUUACAAUUUAAUUAUUUUAUAUCUGGAUUCUGCAAGACACUUCAAAAAAAAUAUAACAACAUGUGGUCCCUGUGUUAUCUACUAGCAUGAGCCAUUGUUCCAUGCAGUUUGGUACAUAGUGGCGCAUAUUUUGUUACAUUUACUUUCUAUAUUCUUAGUAUAUUUAUAGCCUAUAUCCCCAAACUAUAUCAUAUACUUAGCACACACCCAUUAUUAUAAUCCACGCGCGCAUGGCGCGCGCACUUUACUAGUAUAUAACAUUGUUGGCAACAGGAGCUGAUCUCUUUAUUACACGAUGUAUUGGCUUGGUUUCUAAUGUCCACUUUCCCAUCCCUGUUUUCCCCUCCUUCAGGACUUCUUCAGUGAUCUUUUGGUACAUCGCUGCUGAUACAAACAGCCUACCCAGACUGCUUUUGUGAAGGUAUGUGUGUACCUAUAUUGCUUCUUGAGGCUGACUCAUGUGAUUGGCGGUGUUUGGAAGAUACAUUAAAGUUUAAUUCGACAAAUGUCUUUUGCUUAGGGCUCCUAGCUUGGUGUUUCUUUUUCUGUGAUACUUGUGCAUGCGAAGUAGGUGAACUGCUACUUAAAUGGUACAUAUUUAGCUUAAUUACUUACUGGUGGCAUUGCAGAUUAUAUGUUUCUGUCUUAAAGAUACAUUAGUAGGCUGUAGUACUCACACUGCUUCUGUUCUCAUCUGUUCACACACUGCAUCUAUUCACAUCCUGAUUCAGAGGCAUGCAUGAGGUUGUAGUAGGCGAGACCACCCAAAAGCACUCCCAACGCCUGACCACAAGAGCUAGCAGAUAGCAGCCCUACUGUUGGCAAUCCAAUAAUCACAUACGAAGUUUUCCUUGAAAUUUUUUGAGUCUUGAAUUGACUUCUUCCUUAAUUUAUAGUUUCAACUCAAAACGAAUACACUAUUUUUUGUUGAACCACAUUUUUCCUCUGCUCAGUUUGGCAUCAUUAUUGUAUCAUAAUAUUAUCAUAAUUAAUCCAUUCUGGUAAACUGACUCUAGAAAAUUUUCUUGAAUGGAUUCCUAUCUUUUACAGUCUAAGCUACAUUAUGUGCAUGGAAUUUUGCAAUAUACCUUCUGUUUCUUGCUCACAUGAUUGAUGUGAUUUUGAAUUCAUUUAGCACAUUGCUUUCUGAGAAGCCAUUUGCAGUGCAAGGAUGAAACUUGGUCAGAGUGUUUACCAUAUGGAUUGGCAGUGAAACCAAAAAAGAAGGCGUGCUACUGUUCUUCCGUAUUCAUGUCAAUGCAACAACAGGUACAAGUAGUCUUCUUGGGAGCUACCCAGUAGUUUAGUGAGAAAUUGAUAAGCUAUUCUAAAUUAAAUGUAAAUAUGCAUUUCUGACCAUAGUAUGAAGUUGAAAGGUGUUUCUGUUCCUUUCCUGUGUAUAAGAUAAACAUUUUUUCUAACCCUUCUUCCUUAGGUCGCUUAAAUUGAAAUUGAUGUCUACAAAGUGCUUCCCAUUUCAUUAUUAGAUUACUGAUAUAGCUAUGCCUGGUGAGUGGAGAUAAGUGGAGGUGGCACUACCAAUUCCUUAAUGUACCAGGAAUGUUUGGAUUGUUGUAUUCUGACAUUGUUUGGUUCAACAUAUUCAAGUUGGAGUGUCAGGUCUCCAACAAUUAAACAAGAUACGGAAUCUGUGUAAGCAAGAGCAUUCAUACCUUGUUAGCUUCCUUCUCUCUCUCUCAAGAUCGAUCUAGAGACCAACAAGAUCAUGGACUUCUUCAAGUUUGACGUCGAUAACGUGGUCAUGGUGACCGGCGGGAGGAACACCGGGCGUGUAGGAGUGA